AUUGAACGCUGGCGGCAUGCCUUACACAUGCAAGUCGAACGGCAGCACGGGUGCUUGCACCUGGUGGCGAGUGGCGAACGGGUGAGUAAUACAUCGGAACGUACCUUAUCGUGGGGGAUAACGCAGCGAAAGCUGUGCUAAUACCGCAUACGCCCUGAGGGGGAAAGCGGGGGAUCGCAAGACCUCGCGCGAUUAGAGCGGCCGAUGCCUGAUUAGCUUGUUGGUGGGGUAAAAGCCCACCAAGGCGACGAUCAGUAGCUGGUCUGAGAGGACGAGAAGCCACACUGGUACUGCGACACGGCCCAGACUCCUACGGGAGGCAGCAGUGGGGAAUUUUGGACAAUGGGGGCAACCCUGAUCCAGCAAUGCCGCGUGAGUGAAGAAGGCCUUCGGGUUGUAAAGCUCUUUUGUCAGGGAAGAAACACCGGCUCUAACACAGUCCGGGAAUGACGGUACCUGAAGAAUAAGCACCGGCUAACUACGUGCCAGCAGCCGCGGUAA
rnacentral:rRNA from 1 species